rnacentral:rRNA from 1 species
UGGGUAACCUGCCUCAAAGAGGGGAAUAGCCUCCCGAAAAGGGGAGAUUAAUACCGCAUAAUAUGUUUAAGUCGCAUGACUUUAACAUCAAAGGAUUUUCUUUUAGAACUUCCACUUUGAGAUGGACCCCGCGGCGCAUUAGCUAGUUGGUGAGGUAACGCUCACCAAGGCAACGAUGCGUAGCCGACCUGAGAGGGUNAUCGGCCACUAGUUACGGGAAACCCGAGACACGGUCCAGACCUCCGUACGGGGAGCA